rnacentral:piRNA from 1 species
UGGGCUGAAGACUGUCUGCUAGGUGAAAAU